rnacentral:rRNA from 1 species
UACGAAGGGGGCUAGCGUUGCUCGGAAUCACUGGGCGUAAAGCGCACGUAGGCGGCUUGUUAAGUCAGGGGUGAAAUCCUGGAGCUCAACUCCAGAACUGCCUUUGAUACUGGCGAGCUUGAGUUCGGGAGAGGUGAGUGGAACUGCGAGUGUAGAGGUGAAAUUCGUAGAUAUUCGCAAGAACACCAGUGGCGAAGGCGGCUCACUGGCCCGAUACUGACGCUGAGGUGCGAAAGCGUGGGGAG